GACGAACGCUGGCGGCGUGCCUAAUACAUGCAAGUCGAACGCAGUGGGGACGGGUGAGUAACACGUGGGCAACCUCCCAUCAGAGGGGAUAACACUUGGAAACAGGUGCUAAACCGAUACCGAUGGAUGGACCCGCGGUGCAUUAGCUAGAUGGUGAGGUAACGGCUCACCAAGGCCACGUUGCAUAGCGGACCGGAGAGGGUGUGCGGCCAACCUGGAACUGAAACACGGCCCAGACUCUUACGGGAGGCGACAGUAGGGAAUCUUCGGCAAUGGACGAAAGUCGGACCGAGCAAGGCCGCGGGAGUGAGAAGGUUUUUCGGAUCGUAAGACUCUGUGGUUGGGGAAGCGGUAUCUAACCAGAAAGCCACGGCUAACUACGUGCCAGCAGCCGCGGUAAUUC
rnacentral:rRNA from 1 species